rnacentral:lncRNA from 1 species
AAUAAGAAACAGCAGAGCAGGAGGUCCAGGCCAAUAACCCACACCUUCCAUAAGCAACAUAGUGAACAUCUACCACCAAGGGCAGACUUUUAGUCACGCUUAUCUGCUAUCCCCUACUAGGAAAUCAAGAGGAAAAAUGAGAAUAGAAGAGGGAAGCAGAGAGAAAAGAAUAUAUUAAACAGUUGGUAUAUAAAUUAAGAUUUCAUGUGGGAUUAAAAAACAUUCAGCAAAAAUUAUUUCUGAGCAAAGUCACGUAACAGGCCAGUAGUCUGCAGACUGAGUGCCAUGGCCCCCUGAGGUUUUAAGGUCCCUGAGGGUGGGCAGAGGAGACCUGGAGCUCC